AUGUGUCCGACGCUAUGCUGGUUGCGUGGUUACCUCGUAGCGGUCGCGAAGGAAGGAGGACGCCGGAAGUUCUAGUUCUAUUUCAGCUCAGAAGCGCUCGCUCAGUCCGCGCAAAAUGAUUACCUCAGAAUUGCUCUCCAAGGAGGGUGUUUUUGACGGUGACAACCUGCUGCUUCAGAGGACCGAAAAGACUGGAAAGAAAACACUAUUUCGUUAUCAUAUAUUUGUAUUUAUAUAAGAAAGUAUUGUUAAAUAGGAAUAAAGAAUUUAAGCAUUUUUUUGAUUGAUGUUAUAUUGUCACUGCUAGCUAACAUUAUUUAUGUAUAUCAGCCAGACAGCUUUAUUUAGCUAACGUUAUCUAAGUUAGCUAGCUAACGUUUAGUGUUAUUAUAGCUGCUUUUUGUUUGCAUGUAGCUUGCACUUCAAUGGCAUCCCUCGAGGAGAUGUUAUUGUAUUUUUCCAACCAGGCGAAGUACUAUGAAGACACACUGAUCUCGACAAGAGGCGCAACAUUCAUAGGGGGCAGAGAAAUGCACAAUUCAGGGUCAGUACUUGUCUAGCCUGCCAGAAGUUUAAGAGGGUGAAGACUGUGGCGCCGAAGUUGAAGCCCAUCAAAAUUGUUUCACCAUGGCACAUGAUCAGCUGGGCACUUGGCACCAUUUUCCAAUCCCGAUUCCAGUCCCUGUUCUGGGUCCAUUCUCCCAAGAUGUCCACACCCUACACAACAGAGGUCAGCGUCCACUGCUUCUGUCAGGAGAUACGUGAGUGAAGCCCUCCUGGUUUUGACCCUUGCCUGUCCUGACGCCGAUU